UGGGGAAUAUUGGACAAUGGGCGAAAGCCUGAUCCAGCCAUGCCGCGUGUGUGAAGAAGGUCUUCGGAUUGCAAAGCACUUUAAGUUGGGAGGAAGGGCAUUAACCUAAUACGUUAGUGUUUUGACGUUACCGACAGAAUAAGCACCGGCUAACUCUGUGCCAGCAGCCGCGGUAAUACAGAGGGUGCAAGCGUUAAUCGGAAUUACUGGGCGUAAAGCGCGCGUAGGUGGUUUGUUAAGUUGGAUGUGAAAUCCCCGGGCUCAACCUGGGAACUGCAUUCAAAACUGACUGACUAGAGUAUGGUAGAGGGUGGUGGAAUUUCCUGUGUAGCGGUGAAAUGCGUAGAUAUAGGAAGGAACACCAGUGGCGAAGGCGACCACCUGGACUAAUACUGACACUGAGGUGCGAAAGCGUGGGGAGCAAACA
rnacentral:rRNA from 1 species